GGUCAAGCUAGGAAGGGCAUACGGUGGAUGCCUAGGCGCCAAGAGCCGACGAAGGACGCGGUAAGCUGCGAAAAGCCACGGGGAGCCGCAAGCAGGCGUAGAUCCGUGGAUGUCCGAAUGGGGGAACCCGGCGGUGGUAAUGCACCGUCAUCCAUCGUAAGAUGGAAGGGAACCCGGGGAACUGAAACAUCUAAGUACCCGGAGGAAAAGUAAUCAAACGAGAUUCCCUAAGUAGCGGCGAGCGAAAGGGGAGGAGCCCAAACCGGUUGCGCUAUGCGCAACCGGGGUUGUGGACCAACGCAAAAGCUAGCGAGGUCUAGUCGAACUACCUGGAAAGGUAGGCCGCAGAAGGUAAAAGCCCUGUAGGCGAAAGGCUGAGCCAGCCGGUUGGGAUCCAGAGUACCACGGGAUACGAGGAGUCCUGUGGGAAGCAGGGGGGACCACCCUCCAAGGCAAAAUACUCCUUGGCAACCGAUAGCGCAUAGUACCGUGAGGGAAAGGUGAAAAGCACCCCGGGAGGGGAGUGAAAGAGGACCUGAAACCGUAUGUCUACAAGCAGUCGGAGACUAUAAGUCGACGGCGUGCCUAUUGAAGAAUGAACCGGCGAGUUACAGCAGCCAGCGAGGUUAAGCAGAAAAUGCGGAGCCGAAGCGAAAGCGAGUCUGAAGAGGGCGAGAAAGUUGGCUGUUGUAGACCCGAAACCGCAGUGAUCUAUCCAUGGCCAGGGUGAAGCGCAGGUAACAAUGCGUGGAGGCCCGAACCGGUGGGCGUUGAAAAGUCCUCGGAUGAGUUGUGGAUAGGGGUGAAAUGCCAAUCGAACGCGGAGAUAGCUGGUUCUCCCCGAAAUAGCUUUAGGGCUAGCCUCAAGUGGUGAGUGCAGGCGGUAGAGCACUGAUAGGGCUAGGGGCCGUAAGGUUACCGAACCUUGUCAAACUGCGAAUGGCUGCAUUUAGAGCUUGGGAGUCAGACUACGAGUGAUAAGAUCCGUAGUCAAGAGGGAAACAGCCCAGACCAUCAGCUAAGGUCCCGAAUGCCGUGCUAAGUGGCAAAGGAUGUGGCGCUACAAAAACAACCAGGAUGUUGGCUUAGAAGCAGCCAUCAUUCAAAGAGUGCGUAAUAGCUCACUGGUCGAGUGGCGCUGCGCCGAAGAUGUCCGGGGCUAAAGCACGGAACCGAAGCUAUGGGAUUGAGAGGUGCAUCUCACCUCUCAGUCGGUAGGGGAGCGUUCUUACCGGGUAGAAGGUUUUCUGGAAGGGGAGCUGGACUGGUAAGAAGUGAGAAUGCCGGUAUGAGUAGCGAAAAGACAGGUGAGAAUCCUGUCCACCGAAAGCCUAAGGGUUCCUGAGCAACGAUCGUCGACUCAGGGUAAGUCGGGACCUAAGCCGAGGCGGAUAAGCGUAGGCGAUGGACAACGGGUAAACAUUCCCGUACCGCCCGAAGUCGUUUGAGCGAAGGAGUGACGCAGGAGGUAAGGCAAGCGCGAGGAUGGAAAGUCGCGUCUAAGCCGGUAGGGUGCAGUGCAGGCAAAUCCGCACUGCGAGAGCCUGAGAGGUGAAGGGGAGCUGAGGGGAGACCCUUGGCGAAGUUGCCUGGGCCAGACUGCCGAGAAAAGCUUCUAGCGAGACGGAGGGCGCCCGUACCGGAAACCGACACAGGUAGGCGGGGAGAGGAUCCUAAGGUGCGCGGGAGAACCCUCGUUAAGGAACUCGACAAAAUGUCCCCGUAACUUCGGGAGAAGGGGAGCCCAAGCCCGUGAAGGCAGGAAGCGGCCGGAGCGGGAGUGGGUCGCAGAGGAGAGGCCCAAGCGACUGUUUACCACAAACACAGGUGCCUGCUAAAGCGAAAGCUGACGUAUAGG
rfam:Thermosinus carboxydivorans Nor1 ctg10, whole genome shotgun sequence.